GAACUAGUUCACAGGGUUAGGUACACAUAUAUGGUGAUAGAUAGACCACAGAUACACAGCAAGAACAAUUCAACUAAUGAGAACACAUAAUAUGUGAUACAAUAUUUAUAAGUACGAAACUGAACCAUUCACGGAUUGCAAGCAUUCAUAGAAUCUGAACAUUACAAGGCAUUAUACAUCUCCUAUUACAGAAAUUCAGAGAAGAUAGAGAGGAAAAAAGAGAGAUAGCAGCAGUUUAUGGUUCAGACUAGGAGCAGCAGGGGCGUUUGAGAGAAGGUGCGGCAAGAAAGAGGAGCAACGGCAGUUUUGGGGAGAGGUAAUAGCAGCCAGCAGUUAGUUCAGAGAAGGAGCAGCAACUUAGGAUUUUGAGAAGAAGAAGAACAACAGCAAAUGGGGAAUUGGAAGAGAAGCAGCAGCGAGCAACAAGUUAGGAGCAGCAGGGGCGCAAAAGAAGAAGAGCAACAACAAAGGGGGUCGGAGAAGAGAAGCAGCAGCAAGACGUGGGAGAAGGAUGUUGAGUAUGUGUUUUGUAUUGCACCUGUAUUGGAGUUGUGGCCCACCUUCUAGUCUUGUAUAAUUGAGAUAGAGAUCUUUCCUUGUAUUAUAUAUACGUGCACUAGCACCCCAUCAAUACAACGUUCAUUGUAUUGCAAAUCUCUCCUUUCACAUGGUAUCAGUU
rnacentral:rRNA from 1 species